rnacentral:lncRNA from 10 species
AGCAUCCUGUUCCUAGUGGGGCACCAGAUGGGCACAGAGCAGGAGUCAGCAGUUAAGGGUGAGCCCCAGAAGGAGCAGAGGAAAGAAAACACGAAGUGAGGAGAGCAGGAAGCAAGACUUCUCCUUCGGCUUUCCGUGGCCCUGGGAGCUGAGCACUGCUGCCAAGCAAACAGUGGUGUGGAGGAGCGAGAAGGAGAGCCCAGGCUGGAUGUGGUCGGCCGCUGGGUGGAGUUAAAAUGUAUAACAAGGGAGAGGCAACUGAAGAAAAGAAAAGAUUCUUUUAAAAAUUCUGCUCUAGCCUAAUUAAAAAAAAUUCCACUCCCUCAUGCUACGUUUUAAGAGACUGCCCUUUCAGAAUUAUUUUCAGUCUGGUGGUAACAGGCAGGAAGAGUGUCAGAUGUUCACCAAGCUAUAAAGAGGACACUCCCCACCCUCUAAAACACAGGGCCAGCCCCCACAUUGCUUUUCUGACUUGGGUUAUGAGGAUACAGGAUGUGAAGUUGUCAAAGGCAUAGAUCUUUCCGGAAAGGAGUGUCCCAUGUGGUAGAUUAAAAAAAAAAAAAAUGGCUACAGUAUUUUGCAGCUCCUCCCACCAAGACGUGGAGUCAGUUUCACCAGCCCUUGAAUCUGGGUUAUACUACUCACGGGACAUCAGGACACCUAAUGCAAGCAGAAGCUUGACAAGCACUUGCACAGAGGGGUUUGCUCUCUUUUGCUAUUUUUGGAAUCCAGCCAUCAUGUGAAGAAGUCUAGACUGGCUUACUAGAUCCUGGAGACACAUAGCCUGGUCACCCUUGUGGAUCCCUCCCAGGUUCCAGGCACAUAAGUGAUACCAUCUGGGACCACCAGGCCUCAGACAGUCCUCACCUGACUGUAGCCACAUACACAAGUUCAGGUGAACUCAACAGAAGAACUUCCAAGCUAAGCCCAACCCAAACUGCCAGCCUCCAGGAUGGGUGACCUGCAGAAUACUCAUGGAGGAGGUCUGCUUUGAGUUGUGGCUUGGAGAGAUGAAGAAAAUAAUAGAGCAAACAUUGACAUGGAACCUACUAUGUGCAGCUGGAUUUCCAUUCAGUCAUGGAGGUGGAUUGCGGUGACGCAUGGCCACAGACUUUUCUGGAACUGAGAGCUAUGAGAGGUGAUACCGUCACUGACUUCUGGGAAGGCACCAACCUCGUAUUGUCUGUUGAAUGGGGCUGAUUGGUUCUUGAAAUGAAACCAAUCCAGAAUGAAUUGAAAAAUAGAUAUAAGAGGUCCUGCAAGUCCAAGACAGUUCAGCGAACAUAAAAAGAAGGCAAUCAAUGUGUUCUGGAAGAGAUUUAGUAUUCUAACUAUCAAUAGCCCAGCCUCAAAUUUUCCACCUAUCUCAGGCAGGGGAAAGAAAUUAGAUUUCUUUAUCUACUGGUGGCAUAUAACCA